rnacentral:rRNA from 1 species
AUUGAACGCUGGCGGCAGGCCUAACACAUGCAAGUCGAGCGGAUGAGAGGAGCUUGCUUCUCGAUUCAGCGGCGGACGGGUGAGUAAUGCCUAGGAAUCUGCCUGGUAGUGGGGGACAACGUUGCGAAAGGAACGCUAAUACCGCAUACGUCCUACGGUAGAAAGCAGGGGACCUUCGGGCCUUGCGCUAUCAGAUGCGCCGAGGUCGGAUUAGCUAGUUGGUGAGGUAAUGGCUCACAAAGGCGACGAUCCGUAACAGGUCGGAGAGGAUGAUCAGUCACACUGGAAGUGAGACACGGUCCAGACGCCUAGGGGAGGCAGCAGUGGGGAAUAUUGGACAAUGGGCGAAAGCCUGAUCCAGACAUGCCGCGUGUGGGAAGAAGGUCUUCGGAUUGUAAAGCACUUUAAGUUGGGAGGAAGGGUUGUAGAUUAAUACUCUGCAAUUUUGACGUUACCGACAGAAUAAGCACCGGCUAACUCUGUGCCAGCAGCCGCCGUAA